AUAUAAUAAUUUGUAUUAUUUACAAAAUAAGUAUCUCAAUUCUUGACAUAUGUUUAUUUGUUAUUUCUACUGAUUAUGUUCUGAGAUCUCUGAUUUAUCAACUGCGUGUAAAAAUGAAUAUUUAAGAACCCUAACUCUGAUAAACAUAUUUUACUGAUGCUUUAAUUUAAUAAUCUCGUCCCUACUGUUUUAUAAUUAAUAAAUGUAAUAACAUCAGCCGUAUUGUUAAAAAAUUAGGAUAUUCAUAUUACAUAAAUUGCUCGAUCACGUCAUAUCAACCUAAACCAUUGAAUCUUUAAUCUAACCUAAUUAAUGUAAUUCAGAUUAAUGUCCUAUGAGAUAAGUGAUCUGUAUUAUAAUAGAUACAUAAUGUAGGUUAGGACAGAGCUAAUAAAGUUGUCCUAAGUGAUCCAUCGGUUUUGUAGCUACAUGAAAGAAUAAGUGAUUGGAAAUCGAGUGUAAACAUCUAUCGAAGUUAGUAAGGUUACUAAACGUAAACAAGUUUCUCCCUUGCUGUUACAUGAACAAAAGAAAAUAAUCUCGGGAAUUUCGUACAACAAGGAUAAUAAUAUAUAUCUACAUAUAUCAUAAAUAUCGAUACUUUUCACUUUCCAAUUUCUAUUUCCGUUCAAAAGGCCCGGGCAUGAUAUUGAGAAGUGACAACCAAUCACGUGUAACGUUACUUUGGAAAUCCUCAAAUUUCAUUGGCCGAGCACCCACAAUCCACUACGGAGAGGCAGGAAGCCGAGAAGAAGACGUCCUUUCGCUCGGCGGUAAUUGAAGAGACUAGAUGUGUCGUGUCGAUCGGUGAUCCGGCAAUUAAUAGGAUCUGACGCCACGAGUCUGCGUGAUAUUCCCUAACAGCCAUCUUACGUUUAAACUUCAUCUACUGUACGUUUGAAAAAUUGUGCAGCUUAUCGGGGAAAGCAGAAUAAUAGAUUUCAUACAUCAUCGAAGAAAAGUACUCCGAUGAUCAGCGACAGCAGAGCCACUCCGAUGAUAAGCGACAGCAGAGCUACUCUGAUGAUAAGCGACAGCAGAGCUACUCCGAUGAUCAGUGACUGCAAAGCCACUACGAUGUUCUGUAUGAAGACAACGGUUGGGUAGAGUUGCGUACGGAGACCAGCUGCGAGUGUCAUUAGUGUUGCGUAUAAAUGAAUCGCGACCGAUUUGUUUUGUAAAUUCACGCGUUUUGAAUUAGUAUUUCGUCGUAUGAAAAGCCCAAAAUUUGACACCACCAACACUUCAAGAAUCACCAAGCAGCCAAAGUGGCUGCCACUAUGAUUCUUCGCACCCUGAGAUGGCUGCACUGGAUUUUUAAUUAGGGAUUCGUAUUACUUGGUGCACGCGAUUUGUUCUUUAUAUACGUAAUAGAUUAGCGUUUCGAAUAAUGAUGGACCUCGCGAUUGCUUUUGAUUACUACUUUUUGCGUUUUCUUUCAGGGUAGUGUUGCGAAUAACUAUGAAUCGCGUUUGCUAUUAGUGUUGCGUCUGAUAAAUCGCGUCCGUUUUGGUAUCUUGGUUUGGUAACUUGGUACUUUCAGUUAAGGCUAGAACGGAAAAAGAAGACCAUCUACGGAUUGUUUUGCUAUAUUUGAAGAAUAGAGAACGUUUCUUCUGUUGCAGAAAUCAUCGUGGAGUUAAUACAGGGUGGCCAGGGUGUGGUUUUUGUCUUGGCCAGCCAAUUUGGAUCUCCAUAUGCAGUAACCUCCACGUGGUGAGACCCGGACCGUCUACAUUAUUUGAAGUAUGUAAUUGCUAACUGCACAUCGCCAGUAAGGGUCAGAUGACAUUAUCAAUUCCAUACCAAGUAAUAUGAGCUACUGGCUGGAAUCUUUCUCAUUUACAAGUAAAUGAAAAUAUGGUAACUUGCAAUUAGAAUCAACGCAUAUUGAUACUAUUAUUAUUAUAAAAGUCUAUAGUAUUAUAUAUAAGACAUAAUGAAUAAUUUUUAUUCAUAUUUUUAUUCAAGCUAUAUAAGUUAGGGAACGUGCACCCGCAGUUCAAAGGAUUUUUGUCUUUUCAAAAAAUAUAAUUUUUGAAAUGACGGAAAUCUUUCAAAUUGUGUCUGCACUUUCUCUGAUCGGUACAUUACCAACAUGUCGGUAAAUACUGAGGAAGCGCCAUCUACCGGUGGCAGCUUCAAUUAUUUUACUACAAACUUGGGCAUUUUUCGGAUAGAGGCGCUGAUCAAACUUCGAAAAUAUAAAUAUAGCCCUCAGGGGCUGUAGCGAGUUCUUGUAAGCUACAGUACGGGCUUAACAACCCCGAGGUACCCGAGCUAGAGAGGGGGGCCAGCGGACCCCUAGAGAAUAUGUGGAACAAAUGUAUGAAGGAUUGUCGAUGCGAUGUGUAAAUGUACCUUGGGUCAAGAGACCUUGAAAAAUGUAAAAGAAAAGUGUAAAACAGUUCCGUACGGAACUACACUAUAAAUAAAUGAUAAAGAAAGAAUAUAAAUGCAUAUUACUGCAGCUAACUUGGAGUUAUGAAAGAUACUAGAUUAAACAGAGAAUUAAAAAGCGUAUUUUUUUGUUGUUGCUUGUUGGACCAAUUAGAAUAUAUAUAUCACAGAAAAUAAGAUAAGUAUAGGAAAUAGGAACCAGAUAGAAUGUAAGGAAAAUGAAAAGCAAGGACCAGAAGGUUUCUAAAGAUAGAGAGAAAUGAGAUAAGGGCGUACUUUGUAUAUAGUAGUUUUUAUUCGAAGAAACAAAAUAUGUUAAGUUCUAGGGAUGUAACAUAAGUGUAAGCAGCCUCAUCCUGUACAAUAGUAUUUAACAAGAUAUAUAUUAGAGUAGUUUUAUGAGAAUAGUUGUAAUACCUCGAAAAUGCGCUAAAUCGACAAUAGGAUCGAUUAAAUUAAAAAAUGUAUUGUUAAAAACACUAGUGUAAGACAUUGAAUGUAAUCUAGGUUAUAAGAAUACGUAAACAUAUUUUUGGGUCAAGAGACCAUAUUUUAUUGUACAAGAAAAGUGAAAAACAGUCCUGGACUUUAUUUUAUACUAUGUAGAGAUGAACUAGUAUUUACAAAAAUGUGUAAUUAUGUUUAUAUGGGAUACAAUUCGAUUAGUCAAUAUUCA